CGUGUAACCAAUGCCGGUGACGUCACGCACCCCCGUGCGGCCCCCGCCUGCCCGCGCGCGCACACUCGGCCCCCCGCGGCCGGACCCACACGGGUGGCGCGCGAACCCCGCGGGCCGAGGGGACCCCGCCUCCGGGCCGGCAGGGCUCAGGGUGAGGGGGAGCGCACCCCGACUUCCCUGGAUCACAUGGGCUGCGGGGGGCGGGUGGAUCGGGGGAGGGGAGGCGCGGGGAGCUUGCUGCGGCUCCUCACCCGGACCGGGGAGAAGACGCCCCCCACCCUCCCUAGUUCGCCCUCUCCAUUCAAGUUUGCCGGCCCCUGCCGCCGAGAUCCGGAGAUGGCACCAGCCGCCCGCCCUGCGCUGUGCCCUGUUUCCAGCCACGGCUCAGAAAUUUAGGUCAAGGACGUCGGGAGCAAACCCACACCCCGGCGCUUCUCUGGCGGCCCCCGAGACCCCCCAGGAUCGGGGGGCUUCAAGAUAGCGGAGACCCUCCUGCACAAACACCAGCCACAAGUUUUAUUUUCCUUUUGCGCUGGAAGUUCUCUCUGGCUGUCGCUCCACACCGGCACGUCUUGCGCGGUUCCCCGCCCUUCCCCAGUAGAGGAUUAGGAGACAAAGGAAGACACUCAACACCAAAACUGUACCAAAUCCACUGUGGGUUUUGGAAAAAUGGAAUAUUUGGAAAAUCUCAACACCAGCCAUAUCCUUGAGUGACCAGACCCUCCAUCUCCCCGUUCCCUGAAUUGCAGUAAUUCCUCCUUGACAGGAUUGGGGGGGUGAAGAUGGUUGAAACUCUUCCCUUACCAAACUGGUGACUCAAGCAAAAUAGGCAGAAUGAAAAGAAAUGGCAUUUGCCUGCUCAUCCCGUCUCCUUCAUCUGCAUCCUGGGCCCCUCAUCAGCUUCUGGAUCUGUCCCAUAUAAUCUCCCAACUCAUUCAACAUCUGGACUUGAGAUCCCACCUCCUGGCUGCUCCCAGAAGUCUUGAUCACUUCCAGUAGAAUUGUCUGGAAACUCCAUGGAACAAGGCCUCAUCUGUUUCACCCUUUACCAUACCUCCAGCACCUAGAACAAUGCCAACACGUGGUAGGAGAUCAACAAGUAUUCGUUGAAUGAAUAAACUUUACAUUUCUAUAAUUCUCUUCCAAAAAACGGCUUAUUUUUAAAAAGCUCAACAUUCAAAUACCAACUAAAGAGACCUAUUAAAGAUGCAAUUAUUUAAAUUACAAGGUGGACUCAUUGAUGUAGGAAAGUUUCCCUCUCUCUUUAACAACUGUCCGUAAAGUCUAGGGAGAAGAGAAGUUUAAUACCAAAAUCUAAAAUAUUUUCCACCUAUUCCCAAAUCAUUUUCUGUCAUUCUAUUUUUUCUUCUUCCUAGCACUUCUCAUUCUGAAAUUAUUGUGCUAAUUUCUGUUUCCUUGUUAAUUGCCUGCUUCUCGCCCCCUAUCUAAGAGAGAAGAGACUUUGCCUGUCAUCUUACUUGUGGCACAAGCCUAGCACAAAGCAAGUGCCCAGAAAACAUUUGUUGAAUAAGUGAAUUUUAAACGCCUAGAAAUAAAGAGAAAAAAACCAUUAAGAUGAACAUGAAAUGCAAUGAAACACACAAAUAUGCGCAUGUUCACAAAAAAUCAGACCGCAGAGACCUUUUUGCCAAGAGAGCUGCAACUGAAGGGUGAAGAGCUGACCACACAGUGAGCCAGGCAUGAAUUAGAUCCCGUUUGUAACCCACUCCCCACCUGCCGUCAGAACUCAUCACAGAGUUGGACUGGGAAGUGGUGUCUCUGGCACAGGGAACCAGGAAAACACAGGCGACCUUGCAGGUAACCAGGAUCAGAAUAUAAAGCUGGACCUUCCGGGAAGCAGGCUGUGCCUGGAUGUCUCAGGUCACCAACAGGAUGGUGUUAGUUACAAUUCCCUGAGGUCCACCAUGAGCUGCCAGGAUGGUGGGAGUGGCAGCAGGAUUGUCCUGUGCCUAGGAGGGCUUUAUUUGCUUUACUUGCUCCUAAGCCUGCAGAGGGAGAUGAUCUUGAUUUAACCCAAUUCAAACCAGCACCCAUUAUAUGGAAAACAGUGUGCUAGGUGCAGAGGGUGGUGGAGAAGUGAGAGGUGUGCCACCUGUGCCCAGGCUGAGGAUAGCCACAGACAGAUCAGGAAAGAGCAAAGGUGUCUCUGAAACAGGAUGGAGGGGCAAAGUGGCAGGGGAAAGGGGGCCAGAAGCCUGAAGUUAUGACAAGAGAGGCACAAAGACUCCCCAGAGGGACCAGUGCUGGAGGUGGCUGGCAAGGAGGGCCUUCCGGGGCAGGCAAGCCAGGGCAUGUUUCGGAGCCUGGAGAGCCCUAUUAGGCUGGAGGCAGGUACAGUCUGCAGGUAGGUGCAAGGAGAGCAAUUUAUUACCAGAAGUUCCAGUAAAGUCCCUCAGGACCAAUGAAGCUGGCUAGCAAAGGAAAGUGGUUUUCCAAGUAAAUGCCUGGAGAGCAGCUGCACAGCUUUGCCAGGAAGGGGAAGGCAGGCAAGGGCAGGCAGAACCACAGGCGGCACCGCAGUGAUGGACGAUACGUCCAGAAAGGUAUCUGGGGCAUGUCGGGAUCGAACAAGAUAAUGAAUGACCAUUGGGAGGCAUGAAGGGAAACUGGGGAAGAGAGAGAGUAAUUAUAAAAGUAAUAGAAGAAUGUUUUGCUUGGUCCUGGACAAACUGACUCUGAAAUUAAUCUGGAGUACACCAGUGUUCACAGCAGCAUUAUUCACAAUAGCCAAAUGGUGGAAACAACACAAGAUCCAAGUGUCCAUCAACAGAUGAAGUGAUAAACAAAACAAAUAUAUAUAGGUGGUACAUAUAUAAAUGGCAUAUUAUUGAGCCAUAAAAAGGAAUAAAGGAGUGAUACAUGCAUGCUAUGAUGUGGAUGGGCCUUGAAGACACUAUGCUAAGUGAAAUAAGCCAGAUACCAGAAGAUAAAUAUUAUACGAUUCCACUUAUAUGAGCUACACCCAGAGUAGUCAAAUUCCUACAGACAGAACGGUGUCUGCCAGGGACUUGGGGAAGGGGAGAAUGGGAGUUAGUGUUUAAUGGGUAUAGAAUUUCAGUUUGGAAUGAUAAAGUUCUGCACUAGAUCUUAGCCAAAAGGCUGAGAAGUGAUGAUUUCUAAAAAGUU